rnacentral:piRNA from 1 species
UCGUUCUCCUAAAUGCAAAAA